UAGUCCAAUCCAUCCACUAAGGAUGAGGUCC
rnacentral:piRNA from 1 species